GUUAACGGGGCAGAAGUCAAAGGUAGAUUGAAAAGUUUUAUUCCAAAGAUUAAUUUUUUAGUUUCUGCUGAAACGGAAUGAACUGUGAUCCCAGGCCUACUACUGUUUAAUUGAUGAAGCAGCAGUAGAAUGGCGUUUCCCAUCACAAAAUUUGAAACGAACAAGUAAUUCAUUCAUUGCCAGCUACUUCUAGGGUUUGGACUUUGGAGUUUGACCCUCUCUACUCGGGCGCAUGAAACUACUGGACUUUUGACCUAUCCCCUCUCCUUCUUCUGAUAAGGGACAACAAGGUGCCUAAGUGCAUCAUUUUUUAAGGAAAAAAAGUCGAAAAUCUUUUGGAGAGUUGUAGUUAAGAGUCCUUUGAUGGCGCUCAUACAGUAACUCUAAGAUAUGGGAUGUCUGGUUUCAACUCCAAAGGACUAUUGGG